rfam:Triticum aestivum genome assembly, contig: Triticum_aestivum_CS42_TGACv1_scaffold_272491_3DS
AAAAUAUUCCCUCCGUCCCAAAAUUCUUGUUUUAGAUUUGUCUAGAUACAAAUGUAUCUAGUCAUGUUUUAGUGUUCGAUACAUCUAUAUCUAGAUAAAUGUAAGACAAGAAUUUUGGGAUAGAGGUAAUACAAU